AUUGCCUCAUCAACAUAUAUACUAAAAUUGGAACAAUACAGAGAAGAUUAGCAUAGCCCCUUCUCAAGGAUGACAUGCAAUUUCCUGAAACAUUCCGUAUUUUU